rnacentral:rRNA from 1 species
CCUACGGGUGGCAGCAGUGAGGAAUAUUGGUCAAUGGACGCAAGUCUGAACCAGCCAUGCCGCGUGCAGGAUGACGGCUCUAUGAGUGUUAAACUGUUUUUGUACGGGGGUAAAUACCGAUAAGUGCAUCGGGAUGAAAGUAUCGUAAGAAUAAGGAUGGGCAAACUUCGUGCCAUCAGAGGCGGUAAUACGGAGGAUCCGAGCGUUAUCCGGAUUUAGUGGGUUUAAAGGUUGCGUAGGCGGUUUGAUAAGUUAGAGGUGAAAUGUCGGGGCUCAACCCCGGAACUGCCUCUAAUACUGUUGGACUUGAGAGUAGAUGCGGUAAGCGGAAUUUAUGGUGUAGCGGUGAAAUGCUUAGAGAUCAUACAGAACACCAGUUGCGAAGGCAGCUUACUAAUCUAUAUCUGACGUUGAGGCACGAAAGCGUGGGUAGCAAACAGGAUUAGAUACCCGUGUAGUC